GUCAGAUCAUGAAGACUCCACAGAUUGAAUUCUUUCAGUCUGCAGGAGAAUCAACAAUCACCAAGACUUCAGCUCCUGUUUCUGUGGAGCCGUGAUGACACCAGAGGACCUCUUGAACACUCUGGAAGAUCUGGGACAUGAGGAAUUCAAUAAAUUCAAGUGGUUCCUGCAGCAGCCUGACAUUACACCAGGCUUCCCAACCAUCAAAAAAAUCCAACUGCAGACGAAAAACACGUGGGAGACAGUGGAUCUGAUGGUGCAGACGUACACUCUUCCUGGAGCUGUGGAGGUGACCAGGAAGGUUUUAGAGAAGCUCAACAGGAAUGACCUGGUGCAGAGUUUGUCUGUUGGCUCAGGACCAGAAGUGGUUGUCAGUGAUGUUGGGGAGACUUCAGAGAACAGAGGACUUUCCUCCUCUCAGACUCGGGCUCCUCUUCCUC